rnacentral:rRNA from 1 species
GACGAACGCUGGCGGCGUGCCUAAUACAUGCAAGUAGAACACACAGUUUAUACCGUAGCUUGCUACACCAUAGACUGUGAGUUGCGAACGGGUGAGUAACGCGUAGGUAACCUGCCUGGUAGCGGGGGAUAACUAUUGGAAACGAUAGCUAAUACCGCAUAAUAUUAAUUAUUUCAUGAUAAUUAAUUGAAAGGUGCAAUUGCACCACUACCAGAUGGACCUGCGUUGUAUUAGCUAGUAGGUGAGGUAACGGCUCACCUAGGCGACGAUACAUAGCCGACCUGAGAGGGUGAUCGGCCACACUGGGACUGAGACACGGCCCAGACUCCUACGGGAGGCAGCAGUAGGGAAUCUUCGGCAAUAGACGAAAGUCUGACCGAGCAACGCCGCGUGAGUGAAGAAGGUUUUCGGAUCGUAAAGCUCUGUUGUAAGAGAAGAACGGGUGUGAGAGUGGAAAGUUCACACUGUGACGGUAUCUUACCAGAAAGGGACGGCUAACUACGUG